GUGCUUGCUUCAGCAGCACAUACACUAAGAUUAUAACAAUACAGAAAAGGUUGGCAUGGUCCCUGCACAAGGAUAACACACAAAUUCAUGAAGCUUUCCAUAUUUCA